rnacentral:lncRNA from 1 species
UAUAUAGAAGUCUCAUAUAGGUGAGUCCUCUAAGGAUGUGUGGAUAGUUACAUCUACAUCUUGAGAAGAAUACCUCUUGAGUCUAUUUUCAAAGCUACGCUCUUCUUUAACAUCUACAUAGGAGCACUAAUCACCAUAAGGAUGGGGUGGAAUGAAAAUGAAUAAUUUGACUUACCUAGGGCUCAGUAAGUUUGGCCCAUAAAUUUAAGAUGCAAGAAAGAUGAAAUCUGAAAGUGCGCUAGGUACUGUCUUAAGACAAAUUCAGGACCCUCGUGCCAGUAUUCAAGAAUUCCAUCUUAAGAUAUGAUCGAGAUGCCUUCUCUUGGGGCAUGAUUGUGGAGAGGAUUGAUAGACUUCUUUGAAUACUCAGCAAGAAGAAGAAGGAAAGUUUCUGACCACAAAGAAAAGUGACUAGUGAACAAAAAUUAUAAUAAAAAAUAAAAUAGAAAAAAAAAUAAAAUAUGAUAAAAGAAAAAUAAAAUGAAACAUUAUCCCAUGCACCAUGCCGCAUCAUGUUCAUGCAUGCGAGCCAAGCCAGGCAUGUGAAAUAUAAAAUGCACUCCCCUUAGGGCCCCC